rnacentral:lncRNA from 1 species
AACCCAUGGCAUAUGGAGGUUCCCAGGCUAGGGGUCUAAUUGGAGUUGUAGCUGUCAACCUACACCAGAGCCACAGCAAUGCCAAAUCUGAGCCAUGUCUGUGAUCUACACCACAGCUCUCAGCAACACCGGAUCCUUAACCCACUGAGCAAGGCCAGGGGUUUCAAACCCGAAACCUCGUGGUUCCUAAUCAGAUUUGUUUCUGCUGCACCAUGACAGGAACUCCUGAACUGGAUAGUUUUUUGAUGCUGGGGUCACCCUUUGUGCUAAAGGAUAUCUGAGUGCACCCCUGGCCUCUGCCAAAUAGAUGCCAGGAGCAAUGCCCCCCCCCCCACAGUUGGUACAACCAAAAAUGUCUCUAGACAUCACCAAAAGUCCUCAGGGUGGGUCAGGGAGGGGACAAAAUCAUUCGCAGUUGAGAACCACUGGGCUAAAGCCACUGUACUUGACCACGCUCCAGUGUCUACCUCACAUUUCUCUCUGUAGGCUGAUGGCUUAGAAUGCAGCUUGAAACUCAAGAGUUUUGCAAUAGAAGAACUCAAGGAAAGAAUGCUGACUGUAGGACAUAUCUUAAGAAGAAUUAUAGGUAUGGCAGGGAGUUGUGGUUAAAUUAUCUCUUCCAUCAACAAGCUAUUCUUGCUUAAUCCUCUCUAAGAACUUUCUUCUUUGGAGUUCGCUUGGGGUGACAACUUGGUUAACCUGCCACUGAAGUUUAGACCCUACCCAGACUUAAUGACUUACUCAUUAUUACUCGUUAGUGUUUAUGUGAGAAAAAAAACAAGCCUCAUGAUUUUAAUUUCUAAGCAACCAAAUAUGAAAUGAAUCAAAAUUAAGUGCCACUUAUCUAUUUCAAUUAUUAAAAUUAAAUAUAUUCAAACAUUUAAAUAUUAAGUACAAGUACACAAAUUAGCAUUCAGCUAUUAAAUAUAUAAUAUGUACAUAUACGGCAACAUGCAAAAAUAAGAGAAAACGUAAGUGGAAUUUUUUAAAUUAUACUAUAAUUCUUAAUUAUAAUGAAAUAUAUUAUAUAAUUAAUUACAUAAUUAUAUUUAAUGUUAAUGCCCACUACCUACCAUCACAGGGCUAGACAGUUUCCUACAAGAAACAUACAUUAACAUUGGAUCCUUUCUUUUUUUUUUUUUAAAAAAACUGAACCCAAGGCAUGCAGAAGUUCUCAGACCAGGAUGGAACCUGUGCCACAGCAGUGACCUGAGCCACAGCAGUGAUAAUGCUAGAUCCCUAACCCACUAGGCUACCAGGGAACUCUUUUUACAUAUAUACAGACAUGUACUUUACAUAUAUAUAGACUUUCUUGGCACUCUUAACAUAAUGUAACAAUUUUUUCUUUUUGCUUUGUCUUAAGGCCACACCCAUCUGCAGCAUAUGGAAAUUUCCAGGCUAGGGGUCACAUAGGAACUGCAGCUGCUGGCCUACGCGCCAUAGCCACAGCAACACAGGAUCCACACCAUGUCUGCAACCUACGCCAUAGCUCACAGCAACACUGGAUCCUUAACCCACUGAGCAAGGCCAGGGAUCAAACCCAUAUGUUCAUAGAGACUAACCCAAUGAGCCACAAUGGAAACUCCCAGUUUUAAAUUAUAUAAAUAAAAAAAAAUUUUUUAAAAAGACAAAAAGGAGUUCCCGUCAUGGCACAGUGGAAACGAAUCCAACUAGGAACCAUGAGGUUGUGGGUUUGGUCCCUGCCUCCCUCAGUGGGUUAAGGAUCCGGCUUUGCCGUGAGCUAUGGUAUAAGUCACAGACUGUGUUGCUGUGGCUCUGGCGUAGGCCAGCAGCUACAGCUCCCAUUUGACCCGUAGCCUGGGAACCUCCAUAUGCCACAGGUGUAGCCCCAAAAAGACAAAAAAGUAAAAAAUAAAAAAAAUAAAUUAUAUAAUUAAAAAUUUUCAAAGGAACUUGGAUAAAAGGAAUUUGAUGCUGUAUUUCAUCUGGUCAGCAUUAGGAAGAGUGGCUUCUGUUGUCUUUUAAUAGGAGAGCUCACCAUCACUCGCUCUCUGCUGGGACCUACCUGACUAAUAACCAUCAACUUGCCCUCCCAGAGCCUGGGUUUAAAACUGACAAAGCCUGAGCCAUCAGCAGGCCACUUAAGAUAUAAUUCUACUUUAUAUCAUAUCUAAUGUUCUUAAGCUAACUGGAAUCGUGGCUUAAAAAACAAUAAUAAUAAUUACUCCCACUCCAUUACAUUUACACUUGAUACAAUAGCAGAUUUAAAAUUUUGUGAACUGGGAGUUCACAAGAGGGCGUUCACCUUUUAGGAGUUCCCUUUGUGGCUCAGUGGAAACCCAACUAGGAUCCAUGAGGACGCGGGUCCAAUCCCUGGCCUCACUCAGUGGGUUAAGGAUCCAGCAUUGCCGUGAGCUGUGCUGGAGGUUGCAGAAGUAGCUGGGAUCCCGUGUUGCUCUGGCUGUGGUGUAGGCCGGCAGCUGUAGCUCCAAUUCAACCCCUAGCUUGGGAACCUCCAUAUGCCAUGGGUGCAGCCCUAAAAUAAAAAUAAAAAAUUUGUGAACUGCAAAAUGACAUGGCACAUCUCCACAUUUAUACUUGUGGAGGGCUCCUGUUUGGAGUUCUGGUCGCCUUGGUAAUUCAGAUCAAUUCUCCCACCAAAAGCUAAAAAGGCUAAACAAAAUAUAAGUUUACAUAUUGGAAGGAAAAAACUCUGUAAAUAAUUAUAAAAACUACGAUGGUGCAAAUUUAUAUAAUCUUUCAAUGGUUCAAAUGUGAAAUGCUAUUAGGAAGUAGUAAAGUUGUGAUAAAUGUGUGGAGGUUACUGCAUGCCCCGAAAGAGAUCUACGGAAAAAAGACAGCUAUUUUUGUGUAUAUUCUUCAAGUUUCUAUGUUCCACCUUGUUCCACCUCUAAGAGAUGUUAAGAGAUAUAAUUCAUAGUUCCAUCUAUGACAAAUAUCACCAGAUCCUUUUUCUGCGACCAAACCACAUAGCUCAUUGUUAAAAGGAUGAUCGGAAGAGAAACUCAAACAUAUUCCAAUGUGUGGAACUUUGGCAAGAGAUACUUAAACUGGUGGAAACCUGCCGAAAUACUUCACACGAGCCCUCCGUCACCCUCUAUGAUGCAAUCUGCAACCUUUCCAGCCAACUCCCUUAUUUCACUAGCCAGCCCUUGUCAACACUGAGGUAAUAGAGCUGGAAAAACUCAUCACUCCACUGGGAUAUUCAAAUAUCAAAUUUUACUUCAUUUGGUGAAAAUUAUACGGUUGCCAAAGAAAACUAAUGCAAAGAGGGGAAACUAUGAAAGGUUUGGAGCCAUUCUUUUGUUGCAAAGAGCUCUUGGGAGGCCUCAAAUCCAUCUGCCACUGCUUAGGCAUUCUUUUGUUGCUCUGACCCCUUCCUGCCCCACCCCUCAAGCAUAUGGGGCAGCGAGAAGGCUGGGGUGAACUCACCAGCCCAGGCUUCUGUGUUCAGCCAGCCCUAGUCUUAUUCCCAAAGGUCCUCCUUCAGACUCUGCUCCUCCAGAAGGAGAGCUGGAUGAGAAAUAGAGACAUAAUAAAGACACAGAAGGAAGUUCCCAUUGUGGCACAGCAGAAACGAAUCCGACUCGUAUCCACGAGGAUGUGGGUUCAACCCCUGGCCUCACUCAGUGGGUCAGGGAUCCAGCAUUGCCAUGAGCUAUGGUGUGCGCUGCAGAUGUGGCUCGGAUUCCGCGUUGCUGUGGCUAUGGUGCACGCCAGCAGCCGUAACUCUGAUUCAAUCCCUAGCCUGGGAACUUUUAUAUGCCGCAGGUGCAGCCCUUAAAAAAAAAAUCUAAAAAAAUAAAAAAUGAGAGAGAUACAGACCUCACUCUCUGGACCCUCAAGGAAGGAAAAUGAUUUGGAUACAGUUGCCUCAGCAGAAUGGAGGAAUGAAAAGCCAGUGAGCACAGCCCCAUGGCCCGUGUUCUUUUCUCCCUAGACAAUCAAGGCUUAGAUGAGGAAGGAGAGAGCAGGCUUUCUCUUCAGAAAUGUAAACGUGCGUCUUCAGCCCUGACCUUCCCAGAGUUCCACAUUCACACCUUCAACCACCCAUUCAAUGCGUCCACUUGGAAGGAGUUCCAGGGAUGAGUUGUGAUGACUCUGAAGCCAGACUGCUUGGGGAGGAAGCCCAGCUCCAUCACUACCCAGUUGGGUGGCUGACUGUAGGCAGGUCACUUUUAACCUCUCCAUGCUUGUCUUUUCAUGUGUAAAGCAGGGCUCUAGUGGUUCCUUGCACACACAACUGCUAUGAGAAUUAAAUGAAUUGAUAAGGGUAAAAGUGCCUAAAACCCUGCCAAGUACACAAUUCAUGCUCUCACAGUGCUUAUUGCUAUGACUAGGACUGGUACUGCUGUUUCUAAUCAGGCACCUAAAGCUGGUCCAAAACAGAAUUCAGUGAGUUCCCGUCAUGGCUCAGCAGUAAGGAACCCAACUAGUAUCCAUGAGGAUGUAGGUUCGAUCCCUGGCCUUGUUCAGUGGAUUAAGGAUUCAGCAUUGCCAUGAGCUGUGGUAUGGGUCGAAGAUGUGGCUCAGAUCCUGCAUUGCUGUGGUGUAUGCCAGCAGCUACAGCUCCUAUUCGACACCUAGCCUGGAAACUUCCAUGUGCUGUGGGUGCAGCCCUAAAAAGAAAAAAAAAUAAAAUAAAAUUCACGGUUUUCUUCCCAAACCCCUUUCUUCCUUCUCAGUAAAGAGCACCACUGUCCAGUUGUUUCACCCAGGCUCCCAUCUUCUCUCCCCCAGGGGACAGCAAGCGUUUCCCAUCUCCCCAUUUUCAAUUCUCCCCACUCUGACCCCACAGUUAACUAACUCUCCAUCUAAGAAAACUGAAAUCAGAUGCCACUCCUGUGAUGCAAACUUUCCAAUGGUUUUCCAUCACGCUUACUUCACCACGGCCUACCAGGACCCCUACAGUUGCCUGGCCUUCCAACAUCCCCCGCCACCACCUUCCCCCUUCCUUGCUGUGUUCUAAAAACUCUCACCUUGCCAUGCCUUGGCCACCUCGGAGCAUGCUCCACUGUCGCUCCUGCUGUGAGGCACUAUGGGAUUGUCCUCUAAAGUCUGCACUCUGAAGUCAGGCUGCCCUAAUUCAAACUGUCCCUACCACGCUUUAGCUGGGCAACCUUGGGCAAAUUCCUAACCUGCUUUCUGUCAGUUUCCUCAUCUACAAAAAUGGACCUAUGAGUACAAACUUCAGAAGGUGUAAAAAUGUAAUUCAGCAUUUAGAAGAGGGCCUCACAUACAGUAAGCUCUAGGUAAGGGUUUACGGCUGUGAUUAUUCCUGCCUGAAAUGUUCUCACCUGAGGUUCCUCUUAUGUCAAUCAAUUCACCUAUUACCUCCUUCAAAAGGUAUUCCUUGACAGACCCCAUGUGAAGCAACUUCAGUUUGCCCAGAUUGUUCUUAUCUUCUUUUACUUCACUGUACUCAACACUUAGACAGUAUGAUGGACUUAUUUUUUGUUGCCUGAUGCCCCGCUGGAACAUGAGCUCCACCAGGCCGGAGACUUUGUCUUAUUUGCUGCUCCAUUUCUAGUUCGGACUCAGAACCUGACUUUGAUGCACACAUCUCAUCCAGACUAGGGGACUGGCGCAAAUUUCUUAAUAACAAUACUGUGCUUAACUGGUCCCUCGUUUUCGCAUUCAUGAUCUCUCUGAUCUUUGAAGAAAAAGCAACAGCAGAUAUAGCAUUGUCUCCCAUUUUAGAGAGAAAAAAGAAAGUUCCAAAUCUGGGUGACAUAAUUUUAGACACAAAGCUAGUAACUACCAGGGGGAAAAAAAGAUUAGAAUCCCUGCUUUCUGAUUCUAAGGCUCUCCGAAUGAGGAUGGAAGGGUAUUAGGCCCCUGAGCUGAAUUCACAGAAAUGUGUUCUCUCAAUCUCCAGAAUAAAUACACGCUGAGGCGAGCCCAAUAGUCUUCCUUUCAAAGCUCCUGAUAAAUCCUUGUUCCUGAAUUUGACAAGUUUUAUAGCACGGCACUAACUCAUCAAUUAUGUACCAACCCCUGGCCAACCAAACAAGUCAGGCUGUCAGACGAUGAUGGGGUACUUCAAAUUGACACAGCAACCACCCCUAAAACUCAGUGUCUGUGAUGAGUGUACGUGUAUUGAUCUGGAACGCUCCAAGUUGUCUCUGCAAAACCAAACAGGGCGGGGGAGGCCGGCGGGGGGGGGCGUCUCGUAUUUGCCCAGGAGACUGUGAAUUGCUUGAUCCCUGCUUCAUCAAGUUCAGAAACAAGAGUUCAAAACGGCCAUGGGGUUCUAGUGUGGUCCAUCAUCAGAUGGGGCAGAGGAAAGCAAAAAGGCAAAAUUGUGAAAUGGAUGCCUACCUACAAGAGCUUUGUCAGAUGGCUGCUAGUCAACACAUUCUCAGAAUAAUCAUCGUCUUUUUAAGCUUCCUCCCUACAGGGUUACGUGCGUGCUUGUGUUACCACACAUGCUCUCCCAACGCUCCUGGCCCUGUGCGAUGUGUACUAGGGAGGCAAGAAGCUGUUUUAUCUCUAUUUCACACAGAAAGGAAACUAAGGCAGCAAAUGUUACCACCUGUCUUCAGCGAUAUGGUCGCUAGCCGGAUAUGGGGUCUCUGAAGCAACCCUGCAUCCCUUACUCAACCUGUCAAACUCCGGGGCAGAGGGGAAGCCAGUGUCCUCACCGGAGAAGAAAGAACAGGGGCUCCGCCUACGGGCUCCCCCUCCCUGGCCUUCGCCCGCGGCCCAGGGGCCAGCUGCGGACCUCCAGGGGCGCGGCCUAGCCCGCUCGCACUCCCCGCCCUCCCGCUGCAGAGGGCGCGCUCCCUCCCUGGGCGGGUACCUAUCCCGUCGCCGCGUUCUGUGGCUCCCCGAACCACCCCAGGACCAGAACCCACGGUCGCCUCUGACUCCGAAAGAGAGAGCCGCUGGGCGAACCCCGCAGGCCCCGGGAGCUGCAGGAAAUCCUCAGAAACUUACAGUUUUCCUACAGCGUGCGCGUCACGGCGAGGUGACGUCACGGGACCCCGCGCGCGG